CUGCGAUUUCAGCCGAAACCUCCCUUCGCUUAUAAUGCACCGCAUACCCCACGAGGGAGCCUGAGAACAGGCUGCCUUGAAAAGCGAGGUCCUCAUAGUUGGCCUGUAACCAUGGAAGCAGAUGCUGUUUUCCUCCACCCUGCUUACCUCUUUGCAGCCUGGAGCUGCUCCCUAUUGUUAAAAGGGGGGUACGCCUCGAUUCUUCUUCAUCAUGACCGAACUUGCCUCUUCUUCAAAGGGCAUGCUGCUGCAGGUCAUUGGUCUAGACUGUUUGCACGGUCCAGAGAGCAGCCUUGAUGUAACCCUGGCUCCGUCUGAGCCACACCACCAGCCGUGCAUCUGCAGACUGGAGGGGACAUUGGAGAUCCGUAUUUGAAAAGAACUUUGUAGGUUGAAGUGGUCUAACUUUUACUACACCCUAUAAAGCCGCACAUCUGAGUUGCCCUUUUAAGGGGGCGAUUUGAUGGUGUCUAUUAUUUAACAGGCUCAAGUACAGAAAGGUUUUGAAUUGAAGGCCAUCAUAUGUCUUUAGAGAAGAAAGAAAAAGGUCUUGGAAGUUUAGGAGAGACUCCAUCUUCACAUCAUAUCUAUUUUGGCCUGGAAUGCCAGGGUUUCCAGUGGAAUACCAGAAAUCAACAGCUAUGUUUCCUUGACUUCUUUAUUUCUGUUUAACUUUUGAGAAAAUCAGUAGAAAAAUCUAAAUACUCUACCUUUUAAGACCAAAGUUAUUCAUAAGCAUUCAGUGUCAUUUUUUGUCUGAAGGUAAAAUAAUAUAUAUAUGUUUUUUCUGUGUUGAAGAGACUUUUAAAGAAUUAUUAUUCCUUUUUCUGUUGGAAGCAUUGAAUGUUAUUUAAAAGUACUUUGGUAGAUUUGAUGAAAUUCAAAGGAGGAACUAUUUGAGAACUACAUACUUAAAUAUCAAAACUUUAUGAAUAAAGUUCAUGUGUCAUAAAAAUAAAAAAAUCUGCACUAGAUGUUCUUAUAAUAUAUGUUACAUUGGUAAUGUUACUCUGACCUUUCCUUGGUUUCAAAUAUAAGGGAAACCCUGUCGAUAAGCAACACUGCUUACUAAUGAAAAAAUGUGUUACUGUGGUCUUAGAGGGGGAAAUAAAUCUCUUUUAAUUAAUGCCUCUGCAAAGUAAAUUCUCUAAGAAACUUAUUGCUAGAAUCCCUCUACUGGGCCGUUAUUUUUCAACUUCCAUUCAUAACUUAAAAUACAACAUAAUUAUUUUUGAUCUGUCACUGUCAAACGUUAGUAAAUUUCUAAUUUGCACACUCAUAAUCCCCAACUUCCAAUAGCUUGAGUUUGGACUCUUUGACUUAAAAAUGGUG
rnacentral:lncRNA from 1 species